GAUGAACGCUGGCGGCGUGCCUAAUACAUGCAAGUCGAGCGAACGGACGAGAAGCUUUCUUCUCUGAUGUUAGCGGCGGACGGGUGAGUAACACGUGGAUAACCUACCUAUAAGACUGGGAUAACUUCGGGAAACCGGAUCUAAUACCGGAUAAUAUUUUGAACCGCAUGGUUCAAAAGUGAAAGACGGUCUUGCUGUCACUUAUAGAUGGAUCCGCGCUGCAUUAGCUAGUUGGUACGGUAACGGCUUACCAAGGCAACGAUGCAUAGCCGACCUGAGAGGGUGAUCGGCCACACUGGAACUGAGACACGGUCCAGACUCCUACGGGAGGCAGCAGUAGGGAAUAUUCCGCAAUGGGCGAAAGCCUGACGGAGCAACGCCGCGUGAGUGAUGAAGGUCUUCGGAUCGUAAAGCUCUGUUAGUAGGGAAGAACAUAUGUGUAAGUAACUGUGCACAUCUUGACGGUACCUACUCAGAAAGCCACGGCUAACUACGUG
rnacentral:rRNA from 1 species